rnacentral:lncRNA from 1 species
UGGGAAUUCUAGAAGGCUUACAGUCUCUUGAUAAAAACAAAAUACAUCUUAGCUCAUCAAACAGACUUUUCUCUAAAACCUGGGAUGGGAGUCAAAGGACCCACAUAGGCUUUACAGAUGUCGUUGAAGGUGAAACUAGGAAGUGCUUAACUCAGAGGAGAGUCUAUAGACCAUGAUCUCUGCGGGGAGAAGGGGCUACAUUUGAGUACAACUCAGGAUGAUGGCAGAUGGAUUGGAACACACAGGGUAAAGAAAAGGGAAGAAGCGAGCUGAAUGCAGAAAAGAAAUGUCAUAGAAGAUGCAGAGCCACAUGAGCAAAGGAGCCUGGGUCCCUGAAUAAUUGGACAGUCUCCACCAUGACCCACAUUGGCUGUAACGGGAGUGAAAAUUAAAACUUCAUUGACUUCACCACUGA